rnacentral:lncRNA from 1 species
GGAGGACACCUCCAUGUGUGCCACUGUCCUUGGAUGAGGGAGGAUGGCAGGAGAAGAGGGCCAAGGCAUCCCUGGAGAAGUCCUGCAAGCUGCCAGCUUGCCAUUUGUACCAUCCUGUUUGCUGUAAGGUUUUUAAAUCAACUGUUGUGCUUCAGAGCUCUGGGAAGAGAAUGGAUUCAGUCGAGUUGGCUCACCAGUGAGUUCUGAACCAGACAGAAAACAGCCAGAGGCUGUGGGGGCUCUCCAGUCUCAG